rnacentral:lncRNA from 1 species
GGACUCCAAUUUGCUUAACCUAUAAAAAUGAAAUAAUCUGUCUCGAUGGCCCCUGCUCUGUUGCCCUAUUCCAGUAAUCAGAAGAGCUGAGAUUUAAAACCAAAUCCUCUGACUCCCAAACCGGCACACUUAAAUGUCAUCACUCUGCUCUGUAUCCUUUGGGCAUGUAGCCUAUCUGUGUGGGGCCCAAAGCUCAAAUUCCUAAAUGAAAGUAAAAAUGCUUUGUGGGUCUUGAUCUCUGACAACUAUUGCCUGCGCUUCCCCAGGCUUAGCUUCGUGCUCUGAUAAAUAGUAUAAUUCUGGGGCUACCCAUCUCACUUGGUCAUUUGUAAGUUUGUCUGGUGGAGGGAAGGAGCAUUGCUUGGAAAGGAUUGGAUUCCAGCCCUGGCUCUGCCUCUUACUUGCUGUGUAAUAGUGGAAAAUGUGGUUCAAAGAGGACAACUGGCUUGCCAAAAGUCACCUGGGUAAUAAGUAUGAAAAAGGAGGAAAAGACCUAAUGAUCUCAUGACAUCUUUCUGCUGGAUUUGUCAUUGGGAUUACUGUGGCCUCUCUCAUCAUUCUUAUGAUUACAUGCAAGGUCAGAUCCUAUCACACAAAAGGACAACUCUGGAGUGCAGACAGUGGCAAUUGUUUUGCCUGCUAAAGGUGCUCCAGAAGCAAGUUCAUGUAAACAGCAUGGCAACCCUGACCAAACUGGAUUUAAUCACUGUCUGCUUGGUUUUCCAGAAUGAAGCUACUUUAAAAUGAGAACCUGGUAAGACAAUAGAAAAUUUAUUUCUGCCCACAGCAAUGGGAGCCACAGUAGCUCCUACUUCCCUCUACUGUUGUAAGGAUCAGAUGCAAUAAUAUUUUAAAGUAUUUCUCAAACUGCCUGGUACAUAAAUGCUUUUUCCCCUUCCUUUCAGCGGUUUUCAUAAAAAUGGAAGAUUAAUCCAUGGAACAUAAUCUCUGUAAAUAUUUCCAAACAAAUACUGGAUUAAUA